rnacentral:rRNA from 1 species
CAGCAGCCGCGGUAAUACGAAGGGGGCUAGCGUUGUUCGGAAUUACUGGGCGUAAAGCGCACGUAGGCGGAUACUUAAGUCAGGGGUGAAAUCCCGGGGCUCAACCCCGGAACUGCCUUUGAUACUGGGUAUCUCGAGUCCGGAAGAGGUGAGUGGAAUUCCGAGUGUAGAGGUGAAAUUCGUAGAUAUUCGGAGGAACACCAGUGGCGAAGGCGGCUCACUGGUCCGGUACUGACGCUGAGGUGCGAAAGCGUGGGGAGCAAACAGGAUUAGAUACCCCUGUAGUCCCUGUCUCUUAUAU